rnacentral:rRNA from 1 species
CGUCGUGAGACAGUUCGGUCCCUAUCUGCCAUGCGUGUAGAAGAAUUGAGAGGAGUUGCCCCUAGUACGAGAGGACCGGGGUGAACAUACCACUGGUGGACCGGUUGUAGCGCCAGCUGCAGUGCCGGGUAGCUAAGUACGGAAGGGAUAACCGCUGAAAGCAUCUAAGUGGGAAACUCGCCUCAAAACUAGUUCUUCCUAUAGAGCCGUGGUAGACUACCACGUUGAUAGGCUGGAUGUGGAAGCGCAGCAAUGCGUGUAGCUGACCAGUACUAAUAGCUCAAUUGGCUUGAUUUAUG